ACCAGAUGUUUCCACUACAAUAUAAUCAAGUCCAGGGCAAGCCGUUGAUAUUGCAACAUCAUACUUUGCUGCAAAUACAACACCAGUAAACCAAAAUUGUAAAUACCUGGGAUGAAAAGACUAGAUACAAGUUGUAAGUACUUUAGCUCGAGGAAGAUGAUUGACACUGUUUGGCACAAUAGGGAAUUCUAUUUCCUUGACGAUGACGCUUCCUCUAGGGAUUGUUAUAGGACUAGUUAUUGUCAUCUUAUUUUUCUACUUCUGAAAAAGAUUGUAUGUUGUGGCACUUUCAUCUUGGCCACCCAAAUUUUCAAUAUAUGAAGUAUCUAUUUCCUCA